rnacentral:rRNA from 1 species
GACGAACGCUGGCGGCGUGCUUAACACAUGCAAGUCGAACGGAAAGGCCCUGCUUUUGUGGGGUGCUCGAGUGGCGAACGGGUGAGUAACACGUGAGUAACCUGCCCUUGACUUUGGGAUAACUUCAGGAAACUGGGGCUAAUACCGGAUAGGAGCUCCUGCUGCAUGGUGGGGGUUGGAAAGUUUCGGCGGUUGGGGAUGGACUCGCGGCUUAUCAGCUUGUUGGUGGGGUAGUGGCUUACCAAGGCUUUGACGGGUAGCCGGCCUGAGAGGGGGACCGGCGACAAUAGGACUGAGAGACGGAGCAGACUCCAACGGGAGGCAGCGGUGGGGAAUCUUGCACAACGGCGGGGAGCGUGAUGCGGCGACGCCGGGUGCGGGAUGCCGGCUUUCGGGUUGUGAACCGAUUUCGACUGUGACGAGGAGUGAGUGACGGUAAUGGGUAAAGAAGCACCGGCUAACUACGUG